rnacentral:snRNA from 1 species
GGAUGUGAGGGCAAUCUGUCACCCCAUUGGUCACCAGGGCUGAUUCAGCUCAUCUGGCUGGCUAGGUGGUAUUCCCCUUCCUCUCUCAGUGCUUCAUGUGCAUGUGUCGCAGUCUCAUCCCCCUCCUGCAAGCUGCGAUCUUGGUGGAAGAGGAUGUCCUCCUCCAAUAGAGGAAGACUGGUCUUCAGUCCAGAGUAUACCUGCAUUCCCCUUCUAGAACCUCCAAACAAGCUUUCAAAAGACCAAAACAAAACAGUUAAUUUAAAGUAGCCAAGCAUCAUGGUGCACGCCAUUAAU